rnacentral:rRNA from 1 species
AAUAGAUACCCGGGUAGUCCACGCCGUAAACUAUGAUUACUCGAUGUCGGCGAUAUACUGUCGGUGUCCAAGCGAAAGUGAUAAGUAAUCCACCUGGGGAGUACGAUCGCAAGGUUGAAACUCAAAGGAAUUGACGGGGGCCCGCACAAGCGGUGGAGCGUGUGGUUUAAUUCGAUGAUACGCGAGGAACCUUACCUGGGCUUGAAUGCAUUAUGACCGUCCCGGAAACGGGACUUUCUUCGGACAGAAUGCAAGGUGCUGCAUGGUUGUCGUCAGCUCGUGCUGUGAGGUGUCGGGUUAAGUCCCAUAACGAGCGCAACCCCUAUUCUUAGUUGCCAGCGGGUAAUGCCGGGGACUCUAAGAAACUGCCCGCGUAAGCGGUGAGGAAGGUGGGGAUGACGUCAAAUCAUCACGGCCCUUACGUCCAGGGCUACACACGUGCUACAAUGGUCAGUACAAAGGGCAGCUACCUGGUGACAGGAUGCUAAUCUCGAAAACUGAUCUCAGUUCGGAUCGAAGUCUGCAACUCGACUUCG